GACGAACGCUGGCGGCGUGCUUAACACAUGCAAGUCGAACGGAAAGGCCCGCUUGCGGGUACUCGAGUGGCGAACGGGUGAGUAACACGUGGGCAACCUGCCCUCAGCUCUGGGAUAACUCCGGGAAACCGGUGCUAAUACUGGAUACGACUGCGCAGCGCAUGGUGUGGGGUUGAAAGUUUUUCGGCUGAGGAUGGGCCCGCGGCCUAUCAGCUUGUUGGUGGGGUAAUGGCCUACCAAGGCGACGACGGGUAGCCGGCCUGAGAGGGCGACCGGCCACACUGGGACUGAGACACGGCCCAGACUCCUACGGGAGGCAGCAGUGGGGAAUAUUGCGCAAUGGGCGAAAGCCUGACGCAGCGACGCCGCGUGAGGGAUGACGGCCUUCGGGUUGUAAACCUCUUUCAGCUCUGACGAAGCGAAAGUGACGGUAGGAGCAGAAGAAGCACCGGCCAACUACGUGCCAGCCGCCGCCGUAA
rnacentral:rRNA from 1 species